GACGAACGCUGGCGGCUUGCUUAACACAUGCAAGUCGAACGAAGUGGCGCACGGGUGAGUAACGCGUAAUCAACCUGCCCUUCAGAGGGGGACAACAGUUGGAAACGACUGCUAAUACCGCAUACAUAAGGCGGGGUUUGCGUCUGAUUGGCUAGUUGGAGGGGUAACGGCCCACCAAGGCGCUGAUCAGUAGCCGGUCUGAUAGGAUGAACGGCCACAUUGGGACUGAGACACGGCCCAGACUCCUACGGGAGGCAGCAAUGGGGAAUCUUCCGCAAUGGACGAAAGUCUGACGGAGCAACGCCGCGUGAGUGAUGACGGCCUUCGGGUUGUAAAGCUCUGUUAAUCGGGACGCGGUACCGGAAUAGAAAGCCACGGCUAACUACGUGCCAGCAGCCGCGGUAAUAC
rnacentral:rRNA from 1 species